rnacentral:rRNA from 1 species
UAGGGAAUCUUCCACAAUGGACGAAAGUCUGAUGGAGCAACGCCGCGUGAGUGAAGAAGGGUUUCGGCUCGUAAAACUCUGUUGUUAAAGAAGAAUAUAUCUGAGAGUAACUGUUCAGGUAUUGACGGUAUUUAACCAGAAAGCCACGGCUAACUACGUGCCAGCAGCCGCGGUAAUACGUAGGUGGCAAGCGUUGUCCGGAUUUAUUGGGCGUAAAGCGAGCGCAGGCGGUUUUUUAAGUCUGAUGUGAAAGCCUUCGGCUCAACCGAAGAAGUGCAUCGGAAACUGGGAAACUUGAGUGCAGAAGAGGACAGUGGAACUCCAUGUGUAGCGGUGAAAUGCGUAGAUAUAUGGAAGAACACCAGUGGCGAAGGCGGCUGUCUGGUCUGUAACUGACGCUGAGGCUCGAAAGUAUGGGUAGCAAACAGGAUUAGAUACCCUGGUAGUCCAUACCGUAAACGAUGAAUGCUAAGUGUUGGAGGGUUUCCGCCCUUCAGUGCUGCAGCUAACGCAUUAAGCAUUCCGCCUGGGGGAGUACGGCCGCAAGGCUGAAAC